rnacentral:tRNA from 1 species
UUUUCGGUGGCCGAGAUUAGGCAAUAGGCUUUUAACCUACACCACAGUUUUAUGACUCCGAAAGCC